rnacentral:rRNA from 1 species
AGAGUUUGAUCAUGGCUCAGAUUGAACGCUGGCGGCAGGCCUAACACAUGCAAGUCGAGCGGUAACACAGAGGAGCUUGCUCCUUGGGUGACGAGCGGCGGACGGGUGAGUAAUGCCUGGGGAUCUGCCCGAUAGAGGGGGAUAACUACGGGAAACUGUAGCUAAUACCGCAUAAUGUCUACGGACCAAAGUGGGGGCUCUUCGGACCUCAUGCUAUCGGAUGAACCCAGGUGGGAUUAGCUAGUUGGUGAGGUAAUGGCUCACCAAGGCGACGAUCUCUAACUGGUUUGAGAGAAUGACCAGUCACACUGGAACUGAGACACGGUCCAGACUCCUACGGGAGGCAGCAGUGGGGAAUAUUGCACAAUGGGCGCAAGCCUGAUGCAGCCAUGCCGCGUGUGUGAAGAAGGCCUUCGGGUUGUAAAGCACUUUCAGCGGGGAGGAAGGGUCACUAGUUAAUACCUAGUGGCAUUGACG